AUCAAAUACUGUUGUACUGUAUUCAGUAUUUCAGCACUUUCAAAAGAUGGGACUGGGACAAGAGAUGCUUGAGUGUUUGUUCAUGUGGCAGGGUGGGAGGGGAGAUCUGAUAAUCUGCUGAAAAUCAUUCACAGGUUAUCAGAUCUUCACUUUCACCUACUGGGAAAAACAAACCUGUUAUGAUGUCAUCAGUCCUUACUGCUCCACUAAUGUUUAUGGAACCUGAAUUCAUCACAGUUUGAUGUCAAAGCUAAUUAAAAUUACUUCACCACUAGAUGCUAUGGAAACUAUAAACAUGAUAAUGGCUUCCUCCAUAUAAAAUUCCUAUUUGUUCCCCUCACAUUUCUUUAGAGAGCAACUAAGUAGUCAAUAUCAAGAUAAGGUUGUCAGAGUGAACCUAUAAGCACAGAUGGGUCAAACUCAGAGCCCAACUGCCUGCGAAGGCCAACCUGAGAAUAUAAAGGCAAAUUCUGCUUGCCUUCCAUUUUUCUCUAAUGCUCACCCUCUUGUGGGUUCAGAUGUGGUAGAGAAGGAAAAGACAGCUUAAACUCAAGAAACACAAAUGUAUUUGAGAACAACAGCAGGGUGACCUCAUUUGUUUCCACUGGUAGGUCAGGAUCUUCAGCUAGAUGGUACAGAAAAAAAACACCACAUUGGACCUUGCGAGCCCAGACAGCAGACCAUAAAAAAGGACAACAGAGAAACAACAAGAUCUACAGUAGAACUUCAGGCAGAACCAAAACUCCAGUUGAGGGGAUCAGCAUUGACCAUGAGUCAUCUGACACUAAAUCCAGAUAUCCAUCAUGAUUUCCACCCAGCAGGGCCAAAACUCAAGUCAAAGACAUCAGCAAUCUCCCUGAGUCGUCUCUAAACAGUUCUUUCACCCAACCUCCAAGCUCCAUGUCCUGCCGCUCACUGCCUUCCCUGCUUCACUCCAGAGAUCAGCAGAUUAGCCGAGAUGCAACUUCAACCUCAUCCAGCUCACGACCUCGCAGCUGCCCAUCAUGCUUCUCACUGUCAUCAAUGUGGAAGAGCAGAGAAAUAACCAGAUCUGCAAUAUCAGUUCCUCCUGACCAAACCAAAAAUCUAGUCGAGGAGACCAGCAUUCUCCAUAAGUUAUCUGAAACAUGUAUAACGUGCAAUAACACCCACUGUUUAAAUAGCGUAGUGGUUAAUGACACAGUCUGUCACAGGAAACCACAGAUCAAAUCCAAAAAGGGCAACAACAUUCAUUCCUUCUAAUUGCAGGAAGGAUACUAAAGGUAAUUUUGAGGUAAUUUAAACUCCAACUCCCAACAUGCUCCAAAUUCACCCAAAAGAGUCUUGUUUGUUCGUGCUCCAUUUGUGCUGUUUGUUCCAGUAAAAGUUUUGUUGCUGUUUUAUAUAUUAUACAUGACAUUUUUUGUGAUGACAUCACCAGCCCUCCAACAUGCUAUUAAUUGACUCAAAAUAGAUACUUUUAGUUUACUUUCAUAUCAAGUAUGGAAGUGAAUAGUUAAAGGUGCCCUAUGCAAAUUAAAUCCACCUAUAGGCAGUGAGCUGUAUAUCGGUUCUAUAACUCCAUUAGGAUCUGACAUUGUCAUUAUUAUCUACGAGCAUGCAGACCAGUUUGAAGCAGUAUCACCUCCAACCGUUGAUGCUGAAACAAUGAAGACAGAUUUAAGUUGCAAAUGGGUUUAAAGUUGAUGGGUCCUUUCCAUAACUAUGGAACACAGAAUUAAACAAAGUAAACAGCUAAACCAAUCAUAUGGCAUAUCUAUUGCAUUAGAUGCAUUGUCAUAUUUUAGAGACUCUAAAGUAACCUUUAAUUGCCAUUUUAACCUGUGUGUGUCACCUUGUGUUUCUGUAACAAGGCCAAACAUUGAAGGGUAUGUAAACUUUUGAUCAGGGCCAUUAUUUCUGUUAUCAUUAUGAUUUAAAAAGGAGCCAAACAUUUACGUGAUAAUAAUAGUUUUCCAAAUAUUAUCCAAAAGCUUGGAGAUUAUUGCAAUUAUGAAGUACAAAAUAAAAAGAAGUUGAUGUACCUCAGUAAAGAUUGAAGGGAUCUGGAGCCAUCAUGGAUUAUUAAACCUCUAAAUAAUUUGGGAUAUUGCUUCAGGUGUAAAUACAGAUGUUUAACAGGAUGUACUUAAAUUAUGACAUACUGUAUGAGCUUUUUGGCUUCCGUGGCAAUAAAAAUGACUACACCAAGGCAGGGUAGUCAGAACCAUAGACAUCUUAUUUAAAGGCUAGACGUCUCAAGGCGCAGUCACUUCCGGCAUCACCGGUGGCCAUCUUGUCACAGGCAGGCUUCCUGUCGGGCUCUGUGGUACCUAAUAUAAGGUUCAGCCAGGACCACUUGGAGC
ensembl:lncRNA